GAUGAACGCUAGCUACAGGCUUAACACAUGCAAGUCGAGGGGCAGCAUGAACUUAGCUUGCUAAGUUUGAUGGCGACCGGCGCACGGGUGAGUAACGCGUAUCCAACCUCCCGCUUACUCGGGAAUAGCCUUUCGAAAGAAAGAUUAAUACCCGAUGGUAUCUUAAGCGCACAUGCAAAUAAGAUUAAAGAUUUAUCGGUAAGCGAUGGGGAUGCGUUCCAUUAGAUAGUAGGCGGGGUAACGGCCCACCUAGUCGACGAUGGAUAGGGGUUCUGAGAGGAAGGUCCCCCACAUUGGAACUGAGACACGGUCCAAACUCCUACGGGAGGCAGCAGUGAGGAAUAUUGGUCAAUGGGCGCGAGCCUGAACCAGCCAAGUAGCGUGAAGGAUGAAGGUCCUACGGAUUGUAAACUUCUUUUAUAAGGGAAUAAAGUCACCCACGUGUGGGUGUUUGUAUGUACCUUAUGAAUAAGCAUCGGCUAACUCCGUGCCAGCAGCCGCGGUAAUACGGAGGAUGCGAGCGUUAUCCGGAUUUAUUGGGUUUAAAGGGAGCGUAGACGGGUCGUUAAGUCAGCUGUGAAAGUUUGAGGCUCAACCUUAAAAUUGCAGUUGAUACUGGCGUCCUUGAGUACGGUUGAGGCAGGCGGAAUUCGUGGUGUAGCGGUGAAAUGCUUAGAUAUCACGAAGAACCCCGAUUGCGAAGGCAGCCUGCUAAACCGCCACUGACGUUGAGGCUCGAAAGUGUGGGUAUCAAACAGGAUUAGAUACCCUGGUAGUCC
rnacentral:rRNA from 1 species